AUAGUUAAACAAAAAUCCUAAUAUAAAUUUACAUAGUUAAACAAAAAUCCUAAUAUAAAUCUUAAUACAUUGGACUAACCAAAUCUCUAUAUACUUGGCAUUGGAAAAGGAGAAGAGAUGAGAGCUUUGAUAAGUGGGUAAAGUGGCGCGGUUUUCGAGGCAACCCAAAAAGAAGGCCAUGCUGCCCCUCGGGUUUCAGGAAUUAACCUUAUUCCAUGGUUGGGAAAGAAUUAAAUUAACGGGUUAUUCCAGUGAAAAUUGGAAUAACCCGUUUUGACCGGUAUAAAUUAUUCCGGUACUUUUUUUUUUCGUUUGGCAGAAUAACGAGAAUAAAUUUGAUUAUUCUAUAAUUAUUCCGUUAUCAAACGGAGCCUAAGUGAACAGAAAAAUAAAUGGCUGAAAAUAAAUACUCUUUAAAAAAUGAUGAUAGGAGUCUUGUAAUCAAGAUCAAGAGUAUAGAUCUUGUUUUAAANCAAAUUUUAAAAUUUUAAAUCUCUAAACUCGUAAUAAAUCGCGUAAUAAUUAAUUAAAUAUAUUAUAUUUAAUUAAUUUUAUUAAUAAUACCCGUAUUAAAUCGCGUAAUAAAAUCUAACCUCAUAGAUGCAAUUUAAAUCACGUAAAAUAUCGCCGUAUAAAAAAAUACAGAAUUUAAAUUUCAUGAGUAAAAUUUUAGAAAUAUAAUAAAUUUUAUUAAACAAUUUCUUCUACAAUUUUAUUUUUAUUCUAUUUAUUGAUUUUUAAAAAAUUAUUUUGAUAGAUUUAUCUUGAAUCCUUUUCAUAUAAAUCUUUAUAAAAUAAAUUGUUGUAUAAAUUUACUUUGCGCAUAUACCAAUUUUAAUGAAGUUAAUUUAAAUAAAUUUAACUAUUAAAUCAUUUUUGUAUAACUUUUAUUUAAUUAAUAAUUAGACUUACAAAACUAUAAAAAAUAUUAAAAAAAGUAAAAUUUAUUAUAAAAAUAUUUUUGUAUUCACAUCAUCGCGCUGGUAUUUCACUAAUAUAUAGAGAAGAGAGAGUCCAACUACUAUACUAUCGAUAGUACAAAGCGUUUAGUGCUAUCGAGUUUUCUACCAUUAGAUUUAUCGUUUUGACCAUUUUCACCUAUUAGAUUAUACUAUUCAAUUAAUAGUAUCGAGUAAUUAAUAACACCUAGUACAUCUCUUCAUCUAAGGGCAAAAAAUUUAAUAACACCUAGUACUUGAUACUAUUAAUUAGCAAUAUAGUAGCCUAAUUCUAUAUAUAUAGAGUCAGCUUACUAUACUAUUGAUAGCAUCAAGCGUUUUGUACUAUCAAGUUUUUCACCGUUAGAUCUAUCUCUUUGACCAUUUCCGCUCCUUAGAUCAUACUAUUCAACAAACCCCCCACUUAGUCCCAGGCAAUCGCUAUCAUCCUAACCGCACAUUCCUUUCAUCCAAGGUCCAAAAAAUUUAAUAGCACCAAUUACUUGGUAUUAUUAAUAGUAUAAUAGCUUAGUUUUAUAUAUAUAAAAAGAAAAUAGUUACUCUUGGUUAAAUAUAAUUAGAAAUGAAGUAUAGUUAGAUAUGCAUAUUGUUUAUUAAGAUGUGUUGUAAUUAUAAAUAAUUUAUGCAGUUGAAACGUAAAUUUAUAA
rnacentral:lncRNA from 1 species